AGCAUGCAGGGGGCCCCUCCCUGAACUUCUGUAGGAUGCUCCAUCUGCCCCAGCAUCACAGUGUUCAUGAGCCUUACCUGGUAUCUCAAGUGUUGUGCUUCACUGGUCUUCAGCUUUGAACCAUGUUAAACUGCAAGUAUUUGGUGUAAAAGCUGUUUUUCUGACAAAAUCAAGAACCACAGACACAAAUUGCACUUCAUGCUUGCUACCAGCAAAGGGAGCUGUAAACUCUUAAACUGCAUCAAACAGAUGCACUCCAGUAUCUGAAGAGAAGCACGAAUUCCAGCUUGAGUUUUAUUGAUAUACUGGAUGCACCAAACAUGACAAUUUGUUGCCCUUCCUGUGUGCAGCUAUCUACUCAUAUGCAAAGUGUGCCAUGGUCUUCAGUGUCUGCACUGCAGUGCUGGAAACUACAAUAACUACAGAAAAUGGAACUGGUUCUAGAGACCUCACUGGCAUCUGCAAUUUGAUUUUUUCUCUCCUUGUCUUUCCAUGCUGUUUGAGUCAGUGUUGAUCAAAAGAGAUGACCUGUCUCCUAACAAUACUUAUUUCUCUCACUCCCUGUGUUAGUACUAAUUCUUGUAUCUCACUAAGUUAAGGUGACCUAACUGAUUGCAUCAUUUCAUUUUUCAAAGCCAGCUAUAAGACACACACUAUAAGACCUUUGUUAUGUGCAGAUUGACACAGGUAGUCACUGAAUGUUGUUUUUGUCUUUCAGCAACCUGUUGUACAUUUAAACAUAGUAAAAUGCAGAAAAGACCCAGCUGAGUUAACAAGGCUGAAAGCCAGGAAAAUAGAAGUGGGUGGCUAGAAUACAGAGGUGUUGCUUUCCUCUAUCCACUCAUCAUUUUUCCAAUGUGAUAAAAUAUUUUAAACUUGAACCGCAUGUUUUAUCAUUGCCAGAUCAAGGAAAACCAAACUUUGCUGGGCAGAGUCAUUUGCUGGAUGAUAUUAAUAACAUAUGGGAUGGGAUGGUGUUCAUCCUGUGAGGAUUUAGAUAGAGUGCAAUUGUGAGUUUUUUUCAUUACAUGAAAAAUCCGUUACAAGUUCAGUUUGGCAUGAAAGGAAUUUAUCAUAGUUCCAUAUUCAGGUUAUAAUUGGUAGGCAAUAAGUGGUAACAAACCAGCAUGGUCUAAAGUACAUUUCAGUAGAUAAAAGUAUUUUGUAAUAAAGUAUUUAACCACUGAAGGUAGAUGUCCAGUUGCUAAAAACUAACAAUUUCCAGUGAUAGACAGAAGCAUUUCAUUUCAUCACUGGGGAUCAGGGAUCUGGUUUUCUCUAAUAAAAAAAAAAUCCCAAUUUUCAGAUUAAAAAAGGUAACCCCAAAUCCAUAUUUUUCCAUGAUUAAAAUAAAACACCACUAAUAUAUUUGGGGGGGGGGGGGUUAUAUGUGAAAAUUGGGGAUUUUUUUAGCAGAGAAAACCACGAUCCCUGCUGACAAUGUACCCCCACAUUUCUACAUAACCUGUUAUUUUUAAUAACUCUUUUAAACUUCAUUUCUUCAUUUGAACGUAGCACUUCUUAAGGGAAUAAAGAUUGUUUCUAUAUCAAAUGGAUAUGUAGGUGCCUAUAACACUGAAGCUCAAUUUUAGGAAUAACACAGAGCCCUCAGAAUUCCCCAGCAGGUCCUGUUCUGUAUUCCA